CUGGAACCUAGUAUUGACCAUCAAGAGCUUUGCUUACUCUUAUCCCAUGGCGGAAAGGUGAAGGAUGAUCACAUCUCCCUUUUGAUCAAUGCUGGGCUUCUCACUCGCCAACUGAUUGAUCCAAACAUGUUCUGGUUUGCAGUUCCAAAUAUUGGUUCAGUACUCAAGGGCCUCUCUCAGGGGAGAAAGGAACUCCUUUCUCUUUUAAACCGGAGGAGAUAUAAAGAAAUCAUGUUGGC
rnacentral:misc_RNA from 1 species